CACGUAGGCGGUUCGUCGCGUCCGGUGUGAAAGUCCAUCGCUUAACGGUGGAUCCGCGCCGGGUACGGGCGGGCUUGAGUGUGGUAGGGGAGACUGGAAUUCCCGGUGUAACGGUGGAAUGUGUAGAUAUCGGGAAGAACACCAAUGGCGAAGGCAGGUCUCUGGGCCGUUACUGACGCUGAGGAGCGAAAGCGUGGGGAGCGAACA
rnacentral:rRNA from 1 species